CAAUUGGCCGUAGAAGAGAGGGAAGCAAACCUUCAAAAAUAUUGUGCUCAUCAGACAUCACUUGAUAAGGAUCGCUGCAGAUUUUGUCAAUGCCGAGGUUCCUCACCAGCAGCCGUUGCGAGGCAGCGUUCACCUGACAGAGGAUUCUUGCAUUUGAAUCAGCCUUCAACAGAGCUAGUGGGGAAGCAGGUCUCACUGCCAAAUGACCAAAAACCCUUCAUUGAUCAUCCAUAUCUCAGCUUCUCUUGACAUUCAUAUUAUCUGAAACCAGGCAUUCAGCAUUUUAGCCCAAAAAACAAGCCGUCUCCCAGACAAGACAAGACAGUGAAAUGCAAUAGCAUGAGUCCACUACUCCGACGCUUAAAUUAC